AUAAACCAUUCACUGGUGUCGAUUAUAGAGAGGUAGAGCUGGUAUUAUAAACCCUUCACUGGUGUCUAUUAUAGAGAGGUAGAGCUGGUAUUUUAGUUUGUGCCAAAAACAAAUGAGCCAUCAUAAACAGAAACAGAGAGCGAGUCACAUUUGUUCAUUUUAUUGAUAAAUUCUUUUUUUUAUUUUUUAUUAUUCCAAGCUACAGUUUCAAUGCGCUGAAUUAAACUAUGUACAAGAAAAGAGAGAGAGAGAGAGUUUCUGUAUUCAUCAUCACAUUCAGAACAAGAUUAGUUAAGAGAUUGUGCCUAUUGUGUCUAGACAGGAUUGCAUAUCGACCACAAUGCUAGCUAGGUUUCACUGGCUUCAGGAAACAAUCAGGCAAUAAGCAGGAAGUCAGCUACAUUCUAGUAGCGGCGGUGGGAGAGCUGGAGAGUUAAGGAUCGGAUAAUGGGGCCCGGUUUACCUGGUUCUAACCCGUGAACUAAGCCUUAGGGGGGGGGUUUGGGCCCCAGAACAUUACCUUUCCUUUUUGAAUCAGAAACCUAAUAUAACAGUUGGUGUAAAACAAGAACAUGUAUAGUGUGUUUCCCACCAAUGAUGAGAAGGCUAUUGACAUGUGUUGAAGAAGUAGUUAGGUAUGAUAACAGGCAUGAUAACAGUAUGGUGGAGGUAAACACUAGGGCAUGAUAACAGUAUAGUGGAGGUAAACACUAGGACAUGAUAACAGCAUGGUGGAGGUAAACACUAGGACAUGAUAACAGCAUGGUGGAGG